rnacentral:misc_RNA from 1 species
CAGCGGCCAUCUAGUUUCCAAGCCCUCAAGGUGAUAAAACAUGCUGUUAAACCUCCAAGAUCUAGGCCAUGAACUUGAACACUUCCAUUCAUGCCUACGUUUUCAAAUUCUAGAAUGUCAGAUUUUCCUUCUCCUGUUCCACAUUCAAAGUGAUGAUAUGAUCCAACAGUAUCAGCAAAAGUUUGGCACCAAUCAGCCAGGAUUGUGUCAUCAGACACCUCAUACUGGAAAGCUGUGUCUGCAACACAAAACCAACUGGUGCAGCGAGG